AGGGGGGAUUACACGGCUGUUCAGCAGGCUCCCAACAUGGGCGAGGCCUUGAUUCUGUUCCGGAAUAGGACGGGGUGGGUGCGUUCUAUUUCGAGGCCUUCCUUUUUCUACCCAUCCCUCUCUCGUUCUAUCUCUCUGUCUGUCUUUGUCUGUCUGGCUGACUGACUCUCUAUCCCCCCAUCUAUCCAUCUAUCCAUCGCCAUGGUCCCACCUCGCUCCUUGUGCUGCACCGUCCGCCUCUCCUUGCAGCAGGGAUAAGGCGAUGCUGCAACGCCAGCCUGCGAGCUCGCUAGCUCCCAAAACCCUAAACCCUUGUCCCUAAC
rnacentral:lncRNA from 1 species